CACGUAGGGUGCGAGCGUUGUCCGGAAUUAUUGGGCGUAAAGAGCUCGUAGGCGGUGUGUCGCGUCGGCCGUGAAAACCUGCAGCUUAACUGUGGGCUUGCGGUCGAUACGGGCAGGCUGGAGUUCGGUAGGGGAGACUGGAAUUCCUGGUGUAGCGGUGAAAUGCGCAGAUAUCAGGAGGAACACCGGUGGCGAAGGCGGGUCUCUGGGCCGAUACUGACGCUGAGGAGCGAAAGCGUGGGGAGCGAACAGG
rnacentral:rRNA from 1 species